GGGUUUAAAGGGUGCACAGGCGGGGGAAUAAGUCGGUGGUGAAAACUUGCAGCUCAACUGUAAGCUUGCCAUCGAAACUGUUUUUCUUGAGUAUGGAUAAGGUAGGCGGAAUUUGUGGUGUAGCGGUGAAAUGCAUAGAUAUCACGAGGAACUCCGAUUGCGCAGGCAGCUUACUGGGCCAUAACUGACGCUCAAGCACGAAGGCGUGGGUAUCGAACAGGAUUAGAUACCCUGGUAGUCCACGCAGUAAACGAUGAUUACUCGCUGUUUGCGAUAUACGGUAAGCGGCCAAGCGAAAGCGUUAAGUAAUCCACCUGGGGAGUACGUUCGCAAGAAUGAAACUCAAAGGAAUUGACGGGGGCCCGCACAAGCGGAGGAACAUGUGGUUUAAUUCGAUGAUACGCGAGGAACCUUACCCGGGCUUGAAAUGCAUCUGACGUACCCGGAAACGGGUAUUUCCUUCAAAGGACAGAUGUGUAGGUGCUGCAUGGUUGUCGUCAGCUCGUGCCGUGAGGUGUCGGCUUAAGUGCCAUAACGAGCGCAACCCUCACCGUUAGUUACCAUCGGGUUAAGCCGGGGACUCUAACGGGACUGCCAUCGUAAGAUGUGAGGAAGGUGGGGAUGACGUCAAAUCAGCACGGCCCUUACGUCCGGGGCGACACACGUGUUACAAUGGGAGGUACAAAGGGCAGCGGCAUGGCAACAUGUAGCCAAUCUCGAAAACCUCUCUCAGUUCGGAUCGAAGUCUGCAACUCGACUUCGUGAAGCUGGAUUCGCUAGUAAUCGCGCAUCAGCCACGGCGCGGUGAAUACGUUCCCGGGCCUUGUACACACCGCCCGUCAAGCCAUGGAAGCCGGGGGUACCUGAAGUUCGUAACCGAAAAGGAGCGACCUAGGGUAAAACCGGUGACUGGGGCUAAGUCGUAACAAGGUAGCCG
rnacentral:rRNA from 1 species